rnacentral:tRNA from 1 species
CGGGGUGUAGCUCAGCCCGGCUAGAGCGCUUGGUUUGGGACCAAGAAGUCGGAGGUUCGAAUCCUCUCACCCCGA